UACGGAGGGUGCAAGCGUUAAUCGGAAUUACUGGGCGUAAAGAGCACGUAGGCGGCUAUUUAAGCUAGAUGUGAAACCCCUGGGCUUAACCUGGGACGUGCAUUUAGAACUGAAUGGCUAGAGUACAGAAGAGGGCAGUGGAAUUUCCGGUGUAGCGGUGAAAUGCGUAGAGAUCGGAAGGAACAUCAGUGGCGAAGGCGACUGCCUGGUCUGAUACUGACGCUGAGGUGCGAAAGCGUGGGGAUCAAACAGG
rnacentral:rRNA from 1 species